rnacentral:sRNA from 1 species
GUCUUCCUAAGACAAUAAAGACACCAAACAUC